AUGAUUGUUUUCAUUCUUCACAGGGACACUGGCUGUGAGGAGGAUCUCCUCCCUCUCUGCAGGGACACUAGCCUUUGGGACGAUCCACUCCCUGUGCGCAGGGACGCUGGCCUUUGGGAAGAUUCCCUUUCUCUGCGCAGUGACACUGGUCAUCAGGAGGAUCAACUCCCUUUGUGCAGGGGGAUGAGGCCUGAUGCUCGGAGGAUCCCCUCCCUAUGUGCAGGGAUGAGGCCUGAUGCUCGGAGGAUCCCCUCCCUAUGUGCAGGGAUGAGGCCUGAUGCUCUGAGGAUCUCCUCCCUCUGCGCAGUGAUGCUAGCUGCUCUGAGAAUUCCCUCCCUCGGUGCAGGGACACUGGCUGUUUGGAGGAUCCCCUUCCUCUGUGCAGGGAUGAGGCCUGAUGCUCGGAGGAUCUCCUCCCUCUCAGCAGGGACACUAGCCCUUGGGACAAUCCCCUCCCUGUGCACAGGGACGCUGGCCAUUGGGACGAUUUCCUCCCUCUGCGCAGUGACACUGGCUGUUUGGAGGAUCCCCUCCCUCUGUGACGAGAUGAGGCCUGAUGAUCGUAGGAUCUCCUCCCUCUGUGCAUUGAUGCUGGCGGCUGAGAGAUUCCCCUUCCUCUGUGAAGGGACACUAGCUGUUUGGAGGAUCCCCUCCCUCCGUGCAGGGAUGACGCCUGAUGAUCGGAGGUUCUCCUCCCUCUGUGCAUUGACGCUGGCGGCUGAGAGAAUCCCCUCCCUCUGUGAAGGGACACUGGCUUUUUGGAGGAUACCCUUCCUCUGUGAUGGGAUGAGGCCUGAUGCUUGGACGAUCUCCUUUCUCUGCACAGCAACUUCGGCUGCUGUGAUGAUCUGAAGGUAUAAUAUAGAGCAUAUUGUCAUUCCUUAAAAAAUCAACUCAAUAGGAAUAAUGUUUUGUUCACUCAGUGUAGAUCAAUCCCUAGCAUAUACUUUCAUUUGUAUGUGUACUGAUACUGCAAAUACACAAAUUAUAUUAAUGUUAUCUACAAUAUAUUAUAAUACCAUAAGCCUCCCUGCUGCAGGGGCAUUUCCUACUACAAUUUUAAACUGAUUUUCUUCACUUUUAUUUUGCAUCUUUGUUAAUUUUCACAUUUAUUGUGUUUGGAAUGGCACUGUUACUACAGCAUUUGAUGUAAGUAUGUAGGACAAUUACCCAUAAUGCUCACUGACUGAACAUUCAAAAUGACCAUGGCAAUUAUUGACGCAUUCACAUGCCAUCGGAAAAUUGGAACCUCAGAGUUAAAAUGAAUGUAAGUUAUUAGCGUAGAGCUUCCUUCUGGUUGAUUCUGAUACUUCAGUGGGAAACUUGAAAUCAUCAUUCCAUAAUGAGUUAGCGAGUCAGAAAUGUCAGAAUUUCCGAGUUCCGACUUGAAGGGCCUUCUAUGAUGUUAGACAGGUCAGUAACCAAAUUAUUUUACUGUGCCCAGUGCCCACACAGACUUUUAUGGUCACACAAGUUGCCACCGGUAUAUUCAAAAUGAGUAGCCUAACAAUUAUUUAUGUGGCCCCAGUUACAUUUACAACCAAGAUAACCAUAGAUGGGAAGUUGACAAUAGGUUAUUAUUAGGGUAAAUAAAUUGUAUUUCUAUGGUUGCAGUCCUCAAAGAUUGAAUUGCAUUGAAUUGAAUUAAUCAGAUCCAAUGAUUUACCGCCCGUAGGGUGGGGUAAAGCUAGUCAUCAUUAUUAUAAUCACCAUCUCAAUCGUUAUCACCAUACCAUCAUAGACUUAUUCUUC
rnacentral:lncRNA from 13 species